rnacentral:tRNA from 1 species
GAGGGUGUAGCUCAGUGGUUGAGUUAGUGCUUAGCAUGUAUGAGGUCGUGGGUUUAAUCCCCAGUACCUUCA